rnacentral:rRNA from 1 species
GAUGAACGCUGGCGGCGUGCCUAAUACAUGCAAGUCGAACGCAUUGUGGUUGAAAUGAUAUGAAGAACUUGUUCAGAUUUGAUUUUCAACAUUGCAAUGAGUGGCGAACGGGUGAGUAACACGUGGGAAACCUACCUCUUAGCAGGGGAUAACAUUUGGAAACAAAUGCUAAUACCGUAUAAUAAUUAAAACCGCAUGGUUUUAGUUUAAAAGAUGGUCUUGCUAUCACUAAGAGAUGGUCCCGCGGUGUAUUAGUUAGUUGGUGAGGUAAUGGCUCACCAAGACAAUGAUACAUAGCCGAGUUGAGAGACUGACCGGCCACAAUGGGACUGAGACAGGCCCAUACUCCUACGGGAGCAGCAGUA